rnacentral:rRNA from 1 species
AUUGAACGCUGGCGGCAGGCCUAACACAUGCAAGUCGAGCGGAUGAAGGGAGCUUGCUCCUGGAUUCAGCGGCGGACGGGUGAGUAAUGCCUAGGAAUCUGCCUGAUAGUGGGGGAUAACGUCCGGAAACGGGCGCUAAUACCGCAUACGUCCUGAGGGAGAAAGUGGGGGAUCUUCGGACCUCACGCUAUCAGAUGAGCCUAGGUCGGAUUAGCUAGUUGGUGGGGUAAGGCCUACCAAGGCGACGAUCCGUAACUGGUCUGAGAGGAUGAUCAGUCACACUGGAACUGAGACACGGUCCAGACUCCUACGGGAGGCAGCAGUGGGGAAUAUUGGACAAUGGGCGAAAGCCUGAUCCAGCCAUGCCGCGUGUGUGAAGAAGGUCUUCGGAUUGUAAAGCACUUUAAGUUGGGAGGAAGGGCAGUAAGUUAAUACCUUGCUGUUUUGACGUUACCAACAGAAUAAGCACCGGCUAACUUCGUG